rnacentral:lncRNA from 1 species
GAGAGAGAAAGAGUAUGCGGCGACGGAGGGAGAGAGAGAGCGCGACGGAGGUAGAGUAAGCUAGAGAGAGGCACGGCGGUGAUGGAGGAACCGGUUACGGUUCCGGCCGACGGUAAUGUUGUCGAUCGUUGCUGAAAGCAAACUUGACGGCCGGGGGUUCUAGGGUUUGCGGCGACGGAGGGAGAGAGAGAGCGCGACGGAGGUAGAGUAAGCUAGAGAGAGGCACGGCGGUGAUGGAGGAACCGGUUACGGUUCCGGCCGACGGUAAUGUUGUCGAUCGUUGCUGAAAGCAAACUUGACGGCCGGGGGUUCUAGGGUUUGUGACGGUAUGAUCGGUAGUCUUUGGUGGCGGCGAACGUGGUCUGUGACAGAGAGCAACGAGGUAUGUUAGAUCGGAUGCUGCGCCAACUCUUACAAUGACGACGGUCAAGCGGUUAGGGUUUCGACCAACUUCCGGUAACAUCCGGUUAGCUUCCGACGAGGAUUCGGUGAACGGGCAGGCGAAGAUUCCGGUGAACAGUGAUUUUAUGUGAUGUAUAGAGGGGCAAUCGAUUCCAACCGAGCUUCGAAACGAGGAUGCUGCUCUUUGUUAAGCGACUGACCUUGAAGAUGAACGCACUGCAGAACAGAAGGGGGAAAGAAACCCCAAAUCGCUGCUGACCUGCUGUUGUUGUUCGAGUCCGAGGGCAGGGGUCUUGAACUUGCUCGAUUUCUUCACGAAUCACGGCUCAUCCUCAGGUUGAAAUUGGGGGUGAAUUUUAGCCCUAAACUUGUUGAAAUUGUCAAUCGUCGACGGAUUCUUCUUGAAUCUUCAUAAGAUUAUGCUAUGGGAUUGACCGGCUGCUGCUGUGCCUGCUCUUGUUCGACUGCAAGCUGCUGCGCUACUUGUUGUGGUCUUGUUUGACUUCUUCAAUCUUCAUAAGGUUAAAGGUGGUCUCAGAUGUCACACCAUUUGCCUGGAAGGAUGGAUACCGAGAUAAAGAACCAUUGGCAUUCAUAUCUGAAGAAGUAAGCACACAACUUGGAUAACAAGAAAUCUCAAGACACAAAAUAAACAAACACCAUGUACAAGAACAGUCUCAAGUCUUGAAUCUUCAGAAUCAGUUUGCUUACAUGUCGGAAUAAAAAGACCCGCCGCAAAGUGAUUACACAGUUUUAAAGCGCGUCACGUGUUUACUUGGUAAUUAGUUUUAGGUAAUUUAGUUGUUAAAUUUGUUGACGUGUUAGAUUCCUUUGCGUUUGGAAUUUGUAACGAGGGCUCAUUGGGAUUUUAUUACACUUAAAGAGAAGUUUGCGAGUUCUGAUGAAUUUGAAGCA